UUCCUUUCCACGUGUGCGUAAUCUUUUUACUGUUCUUGUCACACCGUUGAUAAAGUGCCACGCCAUUAUAGUACGUGCGUAGUUUCUUCAAGCAGUUCAACGCAAUCUUCACGUAACUGAUUUAUGUAAUAAUUAUAUCGUUCGUAAUGUCUGUAAUAAUUUCUGACAGAUUAAACGUUCGCAUUAGACAAAAAAUAGGAAUACAUACUCUCAUCCAAACGAGGCUGAAGUUUCGCAAAUAUAAUAAAACCCGAAGUGAAGUUGAUCUUGUUAACCAAACUUCGCUAGUAAAGCUAACAGACCAAUAAACCAAGCCAAUUAGAUCGAAACUACUUUGUGGUCGAGCGAAUAAAAAGUAUCUUUCGUUCUAUUUCUACUUUCUCAUGUUACAUGCAUUGGUUAACCAUAAAUUGGGCUACCGGACAGGUACAGACGAAAUUAACUGCAAUUUUAUCUGAAAAAUCUAUAACUAGGUUUUAUAAAAUAGCAUCUUCUUCGAACUGGUGCAUCCGAUGGCACAAAACCGAUGGAAUAUGAACUAAUACGAGGCCACGUAUACGGGAAGAAAGCGUCCGGACAGACGAAAAUUUAUGAUAUUGAUUAUCAUAGGAACGCAAUUUAUUACACAAAUUGAAUUCGAUGUACAACAGCGACGAGGGAAAUGUUGGGAUAAAACGGGAUUUAUACUGCACGCUGUUGUACAGGGUGUCAUCGAAUCGAUGCAAGUGACUUUAAACGAGAAAGUAAGUAGCAAAUACGAAGAGUAACUAUGUAUUCUCUGGAAAGUUCGUUCUCUGAGUAGACGUAAUAAGCUUAUGACGAGCUAUUUGGGUAAAUGAGUUUCAUAUAAUAAGCUUCUUCACGAAGUAAAUUUCGAAUAAGCUUCAAACUAAUAGAUGUUAUUAUAAAUUAUAUAUACGAAUAUC